rnacentral:rRNA from 1 species
UUGGAGCGUGCUGGCGAAGGUCGGCUCCUCUUUAAAUGCAUCAGCGGAGAAAAUGCCUUUUGCGCCUCUGGCCGUUCAGCGUGAUAAUGACGUUGCGCUGCGGUCGAGCUCAAGGUCCGCUUCUAAAGGUCCUCGGACGAUAUCAAUAUGUUUUGACCUCAAAUCAGGUAGGACUACCCGCUGAACUUAAGCAUAUCAAUAAGCGGAGGAAAAGAAACUAACAAGGAUUCCCCUAGUAACUGCGAGUGAAGCGGGAAAAGCUCAAAUUUAAAAUCUGGCGGUCUCCGGCCGUCCGAGUUGUAAUCUGGAGAAGCGUUUUCCGCGUCGGACCGUGUACAAGUCUUCUGGAACGGAGCGUCGUAGAGGGUGAGAAUCCCGUCUCUGACACGGACUGCCGAUGCUUUUGUGAUACGCUCUCGAAGAGUCGAGUUGUUUGGGAAUGCAGCUCAAAACGGGUGGUAAAUUCCAUCUAAAGCUAAAUAUUGGCGAGAGACCGAUAGCGAACAAGUACCGUGAGGGAAAGANGAAAAGCACUUG